rnacentral:rRNA from 1 species
GGGUAACCUGCCUGUAAGACUGGGAUAACUCCGGGAAACCGGAGCUAAUACCGGAUAGUUCCUUGAACCGCAUGGUUCAAGGAUGAAAGACGGUUUCGGCUGUCACUUACAGAUGGACCCGCGGCGCAUUAGCUAGUUGGUGGGGUAAUGGCUCACCAAGGCGACGAUGCGUAGCCGACCUGAGAGGGUGAUCGGCCACACUGGGACUGAGACACGGCCCAGACUCCUACGGGAGGCAGCAGUAGGGAAUCUUCCGCAAUGGACGAAAGUCUGACGGAGCAACGCCGCGUGAGUGAUGAAGGUUUUCGGAUCGUAAAGCUCUGUUGUUAGGGAAGAACAAGUGCGAGAGUAACUGCUCGCACCUUGACGGUACCUAACCAGAAAGCCACGGCUAACUACGUGCCAGCAGCCGCGGUAAUACGUAGGUGGCAAGCGUUGUCCGGAAUUAUUGGGCGUAAAGGGCUCGCAGGCGGUUUCUUAAGUCUGAUGUGAAAGCCCCCGGCUCAACCGGGGAGGGUCAUUGGAAACUGGGAAACUUGAGUGCAGAAGAGGAGAGUGGAAUUCCACGUGUAGCGGUGAAAUGCGUAGAGAUGUGGAGGAACAC